AGUCAUAUGCUUGUCUCAAAGACUAAGCCAUGCAUGUCUAAGUAUAAGUGUUAUACAGCGAAACUGCGAAUGGCUCAUUAAAACAGUUAUAGUUUAUUUGAUAAUCGAAUUUACAUGGAUAACCGUGGUAAUUCUAGAGCUAAUACAUGCUGGUAUGCCCGUCUUUUGCGGAAGGGCGGUAUUUAUUAGAUAACAAGCCAAUAUUCCUCUGGUCUAUUGUGGUGACUCAUAAUAACUGAUCGAAUCGCAAGGCCUUUGGCCGCGAUAAAUCAUUCAAGUUUCUGCCCCAUCAGCUUUCGAUGGUAGUGUAUUGGACUACCAUGGCGUUUACGGGUAACGGAGGAUUAGGGUUCGAUUCCGGAGAGGGAGCCUGAGAAACGGCUACCACAUCUAAGGAAGGCAGCAGGCGCGUAAAUUACCCAAUCCUGACUCAGGGAGGUAGUGACAAGAAAUAACGGACCGGUUCCUUCGGAUUCGGGAUUGCAAUGAGCCGAAUUUACACCCCUUAGCGAAGAUCGAU
rnacentral:rRNA from 1 species